AUUGAACGCUGGCGGCAGGCCUAACACAUGCAAGUCGAACGAGUGGCGGACGGGUGUGUAAUAUCUGGGACAGUGCCCGAUGGAGGGGGAUCAACACUGGAAACGGUAGCUAAUACCGCAUACCAUCGGAUGUCCCCAGAUGGGAUUAGCUAGUAGGGGGGGUAACGGCUCACCUAGGCGACGAUCCCUAGCUGGUCUGAGAGGAGGACCAGCCACACUGGAACUGAGACACGGUCCAUACGCCUACGGGAGGCAGCAGUGGGGAAUAUUGCACAAGGGGCGCAAGCCUGAUGCAGCCAUGCCGCGUGUAUGAAGAAGGCCUUCGGGUUGUAAAGUACUUUCAGCGAGGAGGCGUUACUCGCAGAAGAAGCACCGGCUAACUCCGUGCCAGCAGCCGCGGUAAUAC
rnacentral:rRNA from 1 species